UACGUAGGGGGCAAGCGUUGUCCGGAUUUAUUGGGCGUAAAGAGCGUGUAGGCGGCCAUACAGGUCCGUUGUGAAAACUCGAGGCUUAACCUCGAGACGUCGAUGGAAACCGUAUGGCUAGAGUCCGGAAGAGGAGAGUGGAAUUUCUGGUGUAGCGGUGAAAUGCGCAGAUAUCAGGAAGAACACCCGUGGCGAAGGCGGCUCUCUGGGGACGGUACUGACGCUGAGACGCGAAAAGCGUGGGGAGCGAACAGG
rnacentral:rRNA from 1 species